rnacentral:rRNA from 1 species
AAAAAAAAAAUAAACCAGGGAUUCCCCUAGUAACGGCGAGUGAACAGGGAUUAGCCCAGCACCGAAAGCCUGCUUAAGAUUGGGCGUUGGGCAAUGUGGUGUUUAGGUUGGCGCUCUUGGUUGCUGUUCCAUUCCAAGUCCAAGCUUGAAUAUGGCAUAACUUGGCCCACAGAGGGUGAAAGGCCCGUGGUGGAUGGAGCGGUAGCUGAUUGUGUUAACUGUGGAGUCGGGUUGUUUGAGAAUGCAGCCCAAAGUUGGUGGUAAACUCCAUCUAAGGCUAAAUACUGGCACGAGUCCGAUAGCGAACAAGUACCGUGAGGGAAAGUUGAAAAGUACUCUGAAGAGAGAGUAAACAGUGCGUGAAACCGCUUAGAGGUAAACGGGUGUAGUCAAGCUGCGAGCCUUGGGAAAUCUCUGGGUCAGUGGGCGUGAGCCUGAGCACACUCUUGGAGACGAUAGUAGGUCUUUCCGUAAGGAAGGGUCAGGCGCGUAAGUGUCUGAUUGGUGUAUGCCUGCCUGCUACCGGUGUUCGACUGACCUGGCCACUUUCUCUUGGCGUAAGUCACGACCGUCGUUGUCGUCAGUCCGCUUUGUCUAAACCGUUGCGUGGGUAUCCUUGUGUUGUCUGCGUUUCGGGGGCAGUAGAUGAUCUGGCUUCUGCUGGGUUGUCUGGCUGGUUAUACUGGGUUAUAACUGUGCGAUGCGACUUGGCUAGCGGUGUCCUUGGCUGGCUCGCCAAUGCUGCUUGGUGCGGCGUGGGUUUGGCUGCUUUGUUGCUGUCUCUGAUGGCCCUGGUAGAAACUCACUCGUUGCUAGGUGGCGGCGUUGUUGGUUUGGGCUUCACUUGUGCCAAUAGUCCGUGGCUAAUGGUAAAACAAUCCACCCGACCCGUCUUGAAACACCGGAAAC